rnacentral:rRNA from 1 species
GAUGAACGCUAGCUACAGGCUUAACACAUGCAAGUCGAGGGGUAGCAGGGUAGCAAUACCGCUGACGACCGGCGCACGGGUGAGUAACACGUAUCCAACCUUCCCACAACUCAGGGAUAGCCUUUCGAAAGAAAGAUUAAUACCUGAUAGUACUUAAGAGAGGUAUCUUUUUUAAGUUAAAGAUUUAUCGGUUAUGGAUGGGGAUGCGUUCCAUUAGAUAGUUGGUGAGGUAACGGCUCACCAAGUCUUCGAUGGAUAGGGGUUCUGAGAGGAAGGUCCCCCACAUUGAUACUGAGACACGGACCAAACUCCUACGGGAGGCAGCAGUGAGGAAUAUUGGUCAAUGGGCGAGAGCCUGAACCAGCCAAGUAGCGUGAAGGAUGAAGGUCCUAUGGAUUGUAAACUUCUUUUAUAGUAGAAUAAAGUGAGCCACGUGUGGUUUUUUGUAUGUAUACUAUGAAUAAGGAUCGGCUAACUCCGUGCCAGCCGCCGCGGUAACAC